rnacentral:sRNA from 2 species
CCCGCUGACAGGGACGGGGGACCCAAAUUCGGGUACCGGCAACGGUGCCCUUGGGGUGAAGCCAGAAGGACCUCGGUCCGGACGGCCGGGUGAUUCUCCCACCCGAACCCGACAGCUGACCUCGCAGGCGUCCAGGAGAGGU